rnacentral:lncRNA from 1 species
UUACUUGACAACAAUCAGGAGACACAGACCAGCAGGGGAGGAUCAUGAUCAGAUCUUUUGGGAAUGAUUCCUUGAGCCACAUGUAGAAAAUUUUACAGAAAUGAAAAGGACCGAAGACUGAAACCCAUUGGCAACCUAACCUUCAGUAACUCAGGUCACCAGAUCUAAGAGAAUGGCAGUGGGGAUAAAGAUAAGAGAUUCAAAAAGUGUUUAGAAAGAGUCAUCAAGAGGAUUUGGUGAUAAAUUUGAUGUGGAGGGCAAGAGGGAAGAGACAAAGAUGACUCCAGGUUUCAGUCCUGUGCAGCUGCGUGGGCCACAAUGCCACUCACUGUGGUGGAAAGCAAUGGAUGAGAAGCCAGAGUGAGGGUGAAGUGGCAUCCUGCCUUGGUAAAUGCCAUCUUCCACCAUGCCUUAUCCUAACAGGAAUACAAAGGACCCCACUGCCAGUGAACGCACUUUCUCCUCCAGAAGGCAAGAGCACACAUUUUCUAUUUAAAAUCACUGACAUUUCCUCUUCUUUCUUCAACAACUUCCUCCUGUUCUGCCACGGGAUUUCCUCCCACCUGCAUCUGUGUCCACAUAUGCUGGCAUCCAUCCAAUCUCAGUGGAAGAAAUGUACCUCCUCUUUAUGGUACCUCUCUUCUUGAGCCCUAAGUUCUUCUUGCAAAUUCUCAGGGAGUUUGUACCAUUACUGAUUUUUGUCCAGAAGGGAAAAAAAAUCAUCUUUUUCUUCCUUUUUGUGGGCUGGUUUCCUCCUAUAUGUUAUUACCCAUCUCAGGAAGCAAACUCCCAGCUCUUCAAAGUCAUCAGUAUUGUCUUUAUUCCAGUCUUUACUUUCUCAUCUUAGGCUCCCUCCCUAUUCUGUCCUCUAGCUCCUCUCUACUUUCUCAUAGUAGUGAGGUUCUUUUCCUCACUACUCUACCACAAGAGCUGUCAGCAAGGUCACCGACAUAGGUAUAUCCUGUAAAAGGUGGGGCGAUUUAUCUGCACCAUCUUCCAGCAGCAAUGGUCCAUAACUCCCUCCUCAUUCAGACCACACUACCUGGUGAAUGUUUUCCCGAUGCCAGCCACAGUUCUAAUCCUUGGGGACACAUCAGUGAAUUAAAAAGACAAAGAUCCCUGCCUUUUAUGAACCUAAAUUCUAGCAGGGGGAACAGUUAACAAGCAAAAAUCAAUAAUUAAAUUCUGUGUUACGUUAGAUGGCAGUAAGGGCCAUGGAGAAGGGAAAAGGUACACACAUAUAGUAAUAGCUUUGGGGAAUUCCCUUUUCAACACAUAGUUAUCACUAUAACAACACCCUAUAUGACAAUAUUGACAAUGAAAUUAAAUUAUAGAAGAGUCUAUAGCCCCACAUAAUAAAAAUCAAUCAUAUUUCAUUUGCUGUCUUUCUUUGUAAAUUAUUUUAUUUUAUUUAUUCUUAUUAGUUAUAUAUGACAGUAGAAUGCAAUUCAAUUCAUAUUACACAAAUAGAGCACAGUUUUUCAUGUCUCUGGUUGAACACAAAGUAGAAUCACACCAUUCAUGUUUUCAUAUAUGUACUUAGGGUAAUGAUGUCCAUCUCAUUCCACCGUCUUUCCUACCGCUAUACACCUUCCUUCCCCUCCCUCCUCUUUCCCUAUAUAAAGUUUGUCUAGUCCUCCUAUGCUUUCCACACAUUAUGAAUCAGCAUCCUUAUAUCAGAGAAGAUGUUUGGCAUUUGGUUUUUUGGGAUUGGCUUAGUUCCUUUAGCAUUAUAUUCUCAACUCCAUCCCUUUACCUGCAAAGGCCAUGAUUUUAUUCUCUUUUAAUGCUGAGUAAUAUUCCAUUGUGUAUAUGUACCACAUUUUCUUUAUCAAUUCAUCUAUGGAAGGGUAUCUAGGUUGGGACCACAAUUUAACUAUUGUGAAUGGUGCUGCUAUAAACAUUGAUGUGGCUGUGCCCCUGUUGUAUGCUGUUUUUAAGUCCUUUGGGUAUAAACUGAGGAGAGGGAUCAUUUGCCAUCUUUCUUUCUUUCUUUCCUUUUUUUUUGAGAGAGAGAGAGAAUUUUAAUAUUUAUUUUUUAGUUUUCAGCGGACACAACAUCUUUGUUUGUAUGUGGUGCUGAGGAUCGAACCCCGGCCACACACAUGCCAGGCGAGCGUACUACUGCUUGAGCCACAUCCACAGCCCAUUUGCUGUCUUUCUUAAGUCAGUUGUCU